UUGCUGUGUUCAGUGGUGAAUGUGGGUCAUGUGACUCUCUCCUGGUACAAAGGAAACAGUUUAUUGUCCAGCAUCAGUGUGUCUGAUCUCAGCAUCAGUCUCUCUCUACCUCUGGAGGUUGAGUGUCUGGAUGAUUCCUACAGCUGUGUUGUGGCUCAUUCAUUCACCAACCGGACUACACAUCUCAAGACUGCUCUCUGUCACACAUGUGCAGACUCUGUCCACUGCUGUGGUUCUACUGAAGCUGUGAUCCGAUUGGUCCUCUCUGCACUGGUGGGCGUGGCUACUGUCAUUCUUCUGGUUUAUGACAUCAGAUCCAGAAGAGCUGAACAAGAUCAAGCACAGAUUCACACAUCAGGAAAUAUUGAAAUCUAAAGCAGAAGGCUGAAAUUUACAGGUUCUUCAAGUGUGUUUUUUGCUCUUGUUUUUUUCAUACUGUAUUCAAUACUGAUCUUGUUUUUGAGCAUGCGCUCUCUUUCAGCGUCAGAUUUUUUUAAAUUCCAGAUUGAAAGGUUUUAUUGUUUAUAUUUCCCUCAGAUACAUAAAACAAAUGAGUAAAGAGACACACAGAUCUCUCUUUACUACUGCUGUGCAUUUGUCAUCUGUCUUUAUCAAUAAAGUUUUUAUUCCCUCUGAGCUACAAGAGUCUCUGCAUGUUUUAUUACAGUUAUUAUGUUGCACACCUCCUGGAGGAAAACAAACUAUAUGUAUAUUUGAACA